UGCUGUUUAGAAUGGUGGUUUCCAGGUGUGCUGUUUAGAAUGGUGGUUUCCAGGUGGGCUGUUUAGAAUGGUGGUUUCCAGGUGUGUUGUUUAGAAUGGUGGUUUCCAGGUGUGCUGUUUAGAAUGGUGGUUUCCAGGUGUGCUGUUUAGAAUGGUGGUUUCCAGGUGUGCUGUUUAGAAUGGUGGUUUCCAGGUGUGCUGUUUAGAAUGGUGGUUUCCAGGUGUGCUGUUUAGAAUGGUGGUUUCCAGGUGUGCUGUUUAGAAUGGUGUUUCCCAGGUGGUCUGUUUAGAAUGGUGGUUUCCAGGUGUGCU